AGAUAUUUUGUAUCAUAGAAAACUAAACGGAUCAGCAGAUCACUGGUUUGAUGGAAACGUGUAAACAGUGUAGACUAUGUGGCUGCAUGAGAAAUAGCACAAUAACAAUUAAAAUGUGGUCGACUGGUCGUCGUGUGAACUUAUUUGGUGUCGUGACUCCCCAUGCUCUCCACUCCAUGCUAUUUCUCAAAUUUCAGGUCUGAGCCACCUAUCGUGAACAUAAGAUGUGCAAGUUUUGAUACUGACCGUCAUCACCAACAAUCUCAACAUCAUCAAUUGGAUAAACACCAUCCAGUUUGAUUGGGAAAACUCUGUCCUCGUGUAUGCCCAUGUGAGUGUGGGUGUAUUCACGAGGACGCCCUUUUUCCGACAUUCAACUUUUCUGCGGAUGAAUGAAGCAAUUCUGGAUGCCUGGCUGUGGAUUUCCCGGGCUCAAAGGUAG